rnacentral:rRNA from 1 species
AAACAGCUAUGGGUCAAGUCCGAUAUCUUUAGGAGAAGUCUUAUUGUGAGGGCGAGUUAUAUAACACCAUAGGACUGGCCGUCCCAUAUGAAAAGAUUAUAUUAGAAUUGAAUGAAGCUUUGUUUAUAUAUUGAUAAUGACAGUAUAUAUAUCGUGUCUUGACUAAUUGCGUGCCAGCAGUCGCGGUAAUACGUAAGAGACUAGUGUUAUUCAUCUUAAUUAGGUUUAAAGGGUACCCAGACGGUCAAUAUAGCUUAUAAAAUGUUAGUACUUGACUAGAGUUUUAUGUAAGAGGGCAGUACUUGAGGAGGAGAGAUGAAAUUUCGUGAUACCAAAGGGACUCUGUAAAGGCGAAGGCAGCCCUCUAUGUAAAAACUGACGUUGAAGGACGAAGGCACAGAGAACAAACAGGAUUAGAUACCCAAGUAGUCUUUGCAGUAAAUGAUGAAUGCCAUAGGUUAGAUUGGUCAAUUAUAGUCUAGGGUUAGUCUAGCAAACUAAUGCCCUGUGCUAUAAUUCAAAAUAUCUGGUCUAUAAAUGAAAGUGUAAGCAUUUCACCUCAAGAGUA